rnacentral:rRNA from 1 species
UUCCAGACUCCUACGGGAGGCAGCAGUGGGGAAUAUUGCACAAUGGGGGAAACCCUGAUGCAGCGACGCCGCGUGAGCGAUGAAGUAUUUCGGUAUGUAAAGCUCUAUCAGCAGGGAAGAAGAUGACGGUACCUGACUAAGAAGCCCCGGCUAACUACGUGCCAGCAGCCGCGGUAAUACGUAGGGGGCAAGCGUUAUCCGGAUUUACUGGGUGUAAAGGGAGCGUAGACGGCGGUGCAAGCCAGAUGUGAAAGCCCGGGGCUCAACCCCGGGACUGCAUUUGGAACUGUAUGGCUGGAGUGUCGGAGAGGCAGGCGGAAUUCCUAGUGUAGCGGUGAAAUGCGUAGAUAUUAGGAGGAACACCAGUGGCGAAGGCGGCUUACUGGACAGUAACUGACGUUGAGGCUCGAAAGCGUGGGGAGCAAACAGGAUUAGAUACCCGAGUAA